GAGCAUUUUUCUCCAGAUGCAGUCUAAAGUGUUGUGCUUCUUAAAGUUAUGUGCUUGUAAAACGUUUUAUACAAGAGUAUUAAAUGAGUUAGAAUAACAUGAAUAAAUUAACAGGUGUUUUACAAGUUAAAAUGAAACAAAUUUCUCUUCAAUAGAUGUCAUAAAACAUUUAAUUAUUCAGUUUUCAUUGAGGGUAAAACACGCUGUUAGGUUGAGGACAGCUCCAGCUGAUAAUACAUGGUGAUGGUGAUAAUACAGUUAAAAAUGUCCAACAAUGUUUUCAUUUGAAAUUUAUUUAAAUCAAAUUUAUCUCUCCCCUACAUGUCAUGAAUAACUUUUAUUACUCAGCAGAGAACAGCUGCAGCUGACUGACUCUGUGUGUUUGCAUAUGUGUCCUGCCUCUCUGCUCACAGCUGUUAAGAGGCCAGUGUUGAUCAGUGGCUGUCCAGGCCUUUCAGAGCCACUCACACACCAGCAGCACAAUGAUGAUGUCACUGACUCUACUGCUGGCCACCCUGGGGCUCCUUGUUCAGGGUUCAUCAGGA